rnacentral:rRNA from 1 species
AACGAACGCUGGCGGCAGGCCUAACACAUGCAAGUCGAGCGCCCCGCAAGGGGAGCGGCGGACGGGUGAGUAACGCGUGGGAAUAUGCCCUUUGCUACGGAAUAGUCUCGGGAAACUGGGGGUAAUACCGUAUACGCCCUUUGGGGGAAAGAUUUAUCGGCGAAGGAUUAGCCCGCGUUGGAUUAGGUAGUUGGCGGGGUAAUGGCCUACCAAGCCGACGAUCCAUAGCUGGUUUGAGAGGAUGAUCAGCCACACUGGGACUGAGACACGGCCCAGACUCCUACGGGAGGCAGCAGUGGGGAAUGUUGGACAAUGGGGGCAAUCCUGAUGUAGCCAUGCCGCGUGAGUGAUGAAGGCCUUAGGGUUGUAAAGCUCUUUCAGCUGGGAAGAUAAUGACGGUACCAGCAGAAGAAGCCCCGGCUAACUCCGUG